rnacentral:lncRNA from 1 species
AGGCGGUCAGGGAUGCUGCUGAGCCAACGGGGUCUAAGGCUAUGAAUUUCAAACUGGAAGGGAUCCGGGGCGAGGUACUACCAACCCUGCUUCUGCUGGAUCAAGAAAUUUGAUUUUCGAAUAUUCUUUAUAUCUAAAAAGAUAAAUUUUAUCUAUUUAGAAUAAAUUCUUCUUUUUGAAAUAGAAAAUUUCUUUCAAACCUAGCUCGAUAAGGGAGAGAAUGCCCUUACUUGGAAUCUAAAGCAUUCUUCUUCCUGCUCAUUUCUUCGGGUGUGCCUGUUAGGGUUGGGGACAAGGCAAUGCCAGUUGAACACACCAGUUCAAUAACAAGAGGAGCUGUGUUGCUUGAUGAAAGAAGCGGAUCUGGGUGGUUCAACUGGAUUCCUUGUACCAGUUUAUUCCUUAUAGGUGUUCUGCUAGCUUCAUCGUGCCUGCUUGCAACAAGAAGAUUUUAGUGAGUUCAAUAUUUAUGCAACCAUGCUAAUUUCACCACAAGCUGAUGCCAUCAAAUGCUGAGUUAAGAGAAUCGAGUUGGAACGUACUCUUACCUAGCUCCUACCCAGUUGACAGCUUUUGGAAAGAAGCUAGCUGAAGGUGAUGCAGGGGAUUUUGGUCGAAGAUCCACGUAUAUAAUUCUUUAUUUUACCGUUGGACCGGGUAAAGCCAAAACGCAUAGAAGUUACUGUUCAUAAUUUUACUAUAUUUUUGUAUUUUAUUUAGAAUUAUUUUAUAUUUAUAUAUUUAAUUUAAAACCCUAUUUAGCCUUUGGAAACAAGCUAGUUGCAAUGAUAUAUCUGUUAGUGUUGAGC